CCUUAGAAAGAUUACCAAAUUUUCAGAGAGACAGUUUUACUUGGGGUGUCAACUAUUCUGACAUCUACUGCAAAACUAUUAAGAGUAGGAGGUUCAAUAGAUGGUUUAUCUACCUUGCUGAAACUUCAUCUUUCAGAACAUAGAAAAGAGAAUGAUUUGGUGGGCCAUCCUGGACUUAGUUCUUACCAAUAGGGAAGGAUUGGUUGAAGUGAAAGUAGGAGGGAGCCUGGAAAAAGUGUCCAUGCCAUCUUGGGAAUUCAUGAUAUCAAAAAGAUCAACAGUCAGACCUGGGAGAAUUCAUACAGUACUGAGGAGCACGAGUCUAUAAUGAUACUGAUCAUAACUGCCUUCUAAUCUUGGAGAGUAGCCUCAAUGUGGGGAUAGACUCCUGUAACGUGGAGGAGGAAGUAACCUUUCCUGACAAGAUGGCAAUGAUUAGCACAUAAACUCCUUAGGCUCAAAGCCAGUUUUCGACGGACAUAAAAGAGCAUAUCAUCCUGUCGGGGAGCCCAUUUCUCCAUAAAAUAUGUGGAAAACAUCCAUGUCCAGAACACAAUGCGGUCAUCUUUGAAACACCCUAAAAGGAAGUAAACAUCAGAAUUAAGAACUGUUGAACCUGUAUUGCAUUUUAAAAACAACUAAAUGCAGUAAAAAGUUUGC